UGCUGGGAGCUGCAGCGGAGUCCUGAGGCUGGCUGGAGAUCAACCAGAGAUCCUGCACAAUGGAAACAGAACCCUGCUGUUUCCUGAUCUAAGCCCUGUAACACAAAACAGAUGCAAAGGUCCAGCUGAGAUCAGGAAAUCUUUUGUGUGCAAAGUGGAGGAAAACGGCAGUCGUGUGUGCCACCAGCCCGAGGAGUCGACGCGAGAAGUCAGACGACAGCAAAAUAAGACUGCAUAAUGCUUGCGGCACAUACUUCAGAAAUGCUAGAAGAGGGGAACUGCUGGAACUGAAUUGGGUUCACAUAGCAGAAUCACAGAAUAGUUGAGGUUGGAAGGGACCUCUGGAGAUCAUCUAGUCCAACCUCCCUGCUCCAGCAGGGUCACCUAGAGCACAUUGCACCGGAUUGCAUCCAGGCUCUUCAGACAUCCAGGCGCAUUCACUUGGGAGUAUUAGUGUUUGGGACUGAGGGAUGAUGGCACCAGAUUGAGGUACGACUGGGCAGUGCUCCUUCCAUCAAACAGAAAGGAGAAGUCAUGGCUCCUCCGUGCAGGAUUCCCUUUGCUCUGCAAGGCUGCCUGGGGUCCGUGAAGGUGCUGGCUGGAAAUCAGUCAUGAAUGCAUGCUUCUGGAGUGUUCUCUUUGUACUACAUGGAGCAGAAUGGAAUGCUGGAGAGAUGUCCCAGUUAGCAGAGAACUUGAGACAAGUUUCCACGGUUCACCUCGUCCCCAUUCAAGUUCUGCCAGCGCAGGAGCAAGUAUUUGCAAGGAGCUCAUGUCUCUAGCGUGUCCCAUGAAAACCUCCCCUGGUUUUGUGGGGAAGAUGCUCCCAUCACUUCUUGAGAGCUAUUUCUCUAGUGCUAAGGUGUUAAUGAUGCUCAUUCCCAAGCCAGCCCCUUCGACCGUGUGAUGUUGGAUCCCUUUUUGCUCCCUGAACUUGCUGGCUUUCGGUGGCUGUGGUACCAGCUGCUGUCCUCCAAGCAGUCAUAUCCUUUCACGGACUUGUUUUUUCUCGCGUAGUUACUGUAUUUUUCACGCCUUUCUGAUGCCCACAGAGCCCAGAUCAUAGAGCUGGUUUGAGCCAGGCUGGUGAGCAUGAACUGCUCAUGAGCUCAUCAGCUCAGGUGUUGGUUGUGCAGGAGCAAAGGCGUAUGUGUGUAAAGGAGAAAUCUGAAACCUUGUAAAUAACAACAGCGGCAACAGACCAUGACUGUAUUAUUUUUCUCCACAAUGUGUAAUCCAGCAGUGGGCUGAGAGACACCAUCAUUAAUAUGGGUGCCUAAUUUAUGGCCAAGGCAUGAACAAAUUCAUUGCUGACUUCCCUCAGCAUUUAGAAACAUUUGUCAUUGUUGCUUUCUAUUGGACCAGGAAGGGCUUAUGCUAGAAUCGAUUCCCAGUGGCAGUGGUGCUCUCCAGUUCCAUCGUUAUGUACUAUUAAUAAACAAUUAUCAUUAUCAAUAAUCAUAAUAAUCAUCAUGCCACUGUUUCCAAGGCAGGCUUUGCUGUCUUUUGAAUUGGCAGUCUUUCAUCUCCAGCUCAGCAACAGGCAGAUGCCUAGAGGUCAGAGUGUUUUGCUAGGUCUGUAGUGACAGGUAAUAAUCUGAAUUUUACAAUAUCCUCCAAGGAUCACACUCUGGGCCCUCACCUAGCAAGAAUCAUGCAGGCAGGUAGCACAGAGCAAAUUCUCCCUGCUUUCCCCCUCCCCCCCCCCAUUUAGUCACCUGCACCAUGCAGAAGACUCAGGGGACC